GACGAACGCUGGCGGCGUGCUUAACACAUGCAAGUCGAACGGAAAGACCCUGCUUUUGUGGGGUGCUCGAGUGGCGAACGGGUGAGUAACACGUGAGUAACCUGCCCUUGACUUUGGGAUAACUUCAGGAAACUGGGGCUAAUACCGGAUAGGAGCUCCUGCUGCAUGGUGGGGGUUGGAAAGUUUCGGCGGUUGGGGAUGGACUCGCGGCUUAUCAGCUUGUUGGUGGGGUAGUGGCUUACCAAGGCUUUAACGGGUAGCCGGCCUGAGAGGGUGACCGGCCACAUUGGGACUGAGAUACGGCCCAGACUCCUACGGGAGGCAGCAGUGGGGAAUAUUGCACAAUGGGCGGAAGCCUGAUGCAGCAACGCCGCGUGCGGGAUGACGGCCUUCGGGUUGUAAACCGCUUUCGCCUGUGACGAAGCGUGAGUGACGGUAAUGGGUAAAGAAGCACCGGCUAACUACGUG
rnacentral:rRNA from 1 species